rnacentral:ncRNA from 1 species
GUCUGUGAAGAUGCGGACUACCUACACCUGGACAGAAAGACCCUAUGAAGCUUCACUGUUCCCUGGGAUUGGCUUUGAGCCUUUCCUGUGCAGCUUAGGUGGAAGGCGAAGAAGGCCUCCUUCCGGGGGGGCCCGAGCCAUCAGUGAGAUACCACUCUGGAAGGGCUAGAAUUCUAACCUUGUGUCAGGACCUACGAGCCAAGGGACAGUCUCAGGUAAACAGUUUCUAUGGGGCGUAGGCCUCCCAAAAGGUAACGGAGGCUUGCAAAGGUUUUCUCGGGCCGGACGGAGAUUGGCCCUCGAGUGCAAAGGCAGAAGGGAGAUUGACUGCAAGACCCACCCGUCGAGCAGGGACAAAAGUCGGCCUUAGUGAUCCGACGGUGCCGAGUGGAAGGGCCGUCGUUCAACUGAUAAAAGUUACUCUAGGGAUAACAGGCUGAUCUUCCCCAAAAGCUCACAUCGACGGGAAGGUUUGGCACCUCGAUGUCGACUCUUCGCCACCUGGGGCUGUAGUAUGUUCCAAGGGUUGGGCUGUUGCUACCAAAUUCUAGGUGAUGCCUUAAUUUUAUGGCAUAGCAAGAAAUCAACUUUAGUUUCCUUAUCAACCACCGA